GAAUUCGCCCUUAGAGUUUGAUCCUGGCUCAGGAUGAACGCUGACAGAAUGCUUAACACAUGCAAGUCUACUUGAACUUCGGUUUGGGUGGCGGACGGGUGAGUAACGCGUAAAGAACUUGCCUCACAGUUAGGGACAACAUUUGGAAACGAAUGCUAAUACCUGAUAUUAUGAUUUUAGGGCAUCCUAAGAUUAUGAAAGCUAUAUGCGCUGUGAGAGAGCUUUGCGUCCCAUUAGCUAGUUGGAGAGGUAACGGCUCACCAAGGCGAUGAUGGGUAGCCGGCCUGAGAGGGUGAACGGCCACAAGGGGACUGAGACACGGCCCUUACUCCU
rnacentral:rRNA from 1 species